rnacentral:rRNA from 1 species
CCUACGGGUGGCAGCAGUAGGGAAUAUUGCUCAAUGGGGGAAACCCUGAAGCAGCAACGCCGCGUGGAGGAUGAAGGUUUUCGGAUUGUAAACUCCUUUUGUUAGAGAAGAUAAUGACGGUAUCUAACGAAUAAGCACCGGAGAAUUCCGUGCCAGCAGCCGCGGUAAUACGGAGGGUGCAAGCGUUACACGGAAUCACUGGGCGUAAAGGGCGCGUAGGCGGGAUAGCAAGUCAGAUGUGAAAUCCUAUGGCUUAACCAUAGAACUGCAUUUGAAACUGUUAGUCUAGAGUAUGGGAGAGGUAGGUGGAAUUCGUGGUGUAGGGGUAAAAUCCGUAGAGAUCAAGAAGAAUACUGAUUGCGAAGGCAACCUGCUAGAACAUAACUGACGCUGAGGCGCGAAAGCGUGGGGAGCAAACAGGAUUAGAUACCCGAGUAGUC